UACGAAGGGGGCUAGCGUUGCUCGGAAUCACUGGGCGUAAAGGGCGCGUAGGCGGGAUGGCAAGUCGGUCGUGAAAUACCUCGGCUCAACUGAGGAGCGUCGAUCGAAACUGCCGUUCUUGAGGGUUGCAGAGGAGACUGGAAUUCCCGGUGUAGCGGUGAAAUGUGUAGAGAUCGGGAGGAACACCGGUGGCGAAGGCGGGUCUCUGGGCAAUUCCUGACGCUGAGGCGCGAAAGCGUGGGGAGCAAACGGG
rnacentral:rRNA from 1 species